rnacentral:tRNA from 1 species
CAGGGAGACAACAAAAUGUUUAAUAUUAUUUUGUCACCUUAGGUCGAUCGGUAUCUCACAUUCUUAAUUUAUUAAGGAUUUCAUAUCCUAAGUUUUUCUAGGUCACACCCAUUAUUUUUCCUGGGCCAUUAGCUCAGGUGGUUAGAGCGCACCCCUGAUAAGGGUGAGGUCCCUGGUUCAAGUCCAGGAUGGCCCAUAUCUCUAUGUUGGGGGUAUAGCUCAGUUGGUAGAGCGCCUGCUUUGCAAGCAGGAUGUCAGCGGUUCGAGUCCGCUUACCUCCACUGAUUACCACCUCUUCGAUAUUUUGAUGAAGGAAAUGUUUUGAGUUGUGAUCAAAUUCUGAACGAAUCUAGCUUCCUAAUAACAUUAUUAAGAUGCUGGACUCAUUGAAUUAAUUUCAUUGUUUUCAGAGAACCUUGACAACUGCAUAGAUUAUUUAUAAAGACAAUAAGCAUCUUUAAAGAUGCAGAUUUAUUAUUUGUGCUAAUGCAUCAAAUAACAAUUCUAUUAAGCUGAUGCUUCAGUUAUUGAAGUUAUU